rnacentral:rRNA from 1 species
UACGUAGGGGCUAGCGUUGUCCGGAAUCAUUGGGCGUAAAGAGCGUGUAGGCGGCCCGGUAAGUCCGCUGUAAAAGUCAAAGGCUCAACCUUUGAAUGUCAGUGGAUACUGCCGGGCUAGAGUCCGGAAGAGGCGAGUGGAACUCCUGGUGUAGCGGUGAAAUGCGCAGAUAUCAGGAAGAACACCCGUGGCUAAGGCGGCUCUCUAGUACGGUACUGACGCUGAGACGCGAAAGCGUGGGGGAGCGAACAGG